UACGAAGGGGGCUAGCGUUGCUCGGAAUCACUGGGCGUAAAGCGCACGUAGGCGGCUUCUUAAGUCGGUGGUGAAAUCCUGGAGCUCAACUCCAGAACUGCCUUCGAUACUGGGAAGCUCGAGUCCGGGAGAGGUGAGUGGAACUGCGAGUGUAGAGGUGAAAUGCGCAGAUAUCGGGAAGAACACCCGUGGCGAAGGCGGCUCUCUGGGACGGUACUGACGCUGAGACGCGAAAGCGUGGGGAGCGAACAGG
rnacentral:rRNA from 1 species